UAGGAUCAUCUUCAGGAAUCUCACGUUCCUUCAAUCCCUUGUAAUAUGCUUCCACAGCUGGGAAUAAAGGAGUUGUGUUUCGAGCUUGCAAGAGGUCCCAUAUAUAAUUGGCAGUUGUAUACCCACCAGUCUUCUCACCCGCUGCUACAAGGAGAAGGUCACUCCCUAAUUUGGCGUUCAAGAAAAAGCCCCUGGAAUUCAUGUUUGCCAGUGUUUCUUGAGCCAAUUGCAUUCCCUUUGGUGUAUAACCAACCAUGGCUCCCUCAACAAGCGUUGCAUAGAGUUCCACUGCUGGAAGACCCCCAGAAUUCAAGUG
rnacentral:misc_RNA from 1 species